AACGAACGCUGGCGGCAGGCUUAACACAUGCAAGUCGAACGCAUCCUUCGGGGUGAGUGGCAGACGGGUGAGUAACGCGUGGGAACGUGCCCUUCAGUUCGGGAUAACCCAGGGAAACUUGGGCUAAUACCGGAUACGUGCGAGAGCAGAAAGAUUUAUCGCUGAAGGAUCGGCCCGCGUCUGAUUAGCUAGUUGGUGGGGUAAUGGCCCACCAAGGCGACGAUCAGUAGCUGGUCUGAGAGGAUGAUCAGCCACAUUGGGACUGAGACACGGCCCAAACUCCUGCGGGAGGCAGCAGUGGGGAAUAUUGGCCAAUGGGCGCAAACCGGAUCCAGCCCUGCCGUGUGAGUGAUGAAGGCCUUAGGGUUGUAAAGCUCUUUCGUCCGGGACGAUAAUGACGGUACCGGAAGAAGAAGCCCCGGCUAACUUCGUGCCAGCCGCCGCCGUAA
rnacentral:rRNA from 1 species